GUACGACCAUGUGUCCUCUGUGUAGUCCUGUUUAUGGAAAAUCUCUGUGCGGACAGCCGUCUCCUAGAUGGCUAAGCGUUCCGUGCGGUAUCUGCGUGUUCAUAUUUUCUGCGGGGACAGAAAACGGAAUUUCUGUGCUGAAAACAUCUGGCAUAAAUAUUCUGCCGUGAGCACAGCGCAGCAGAAUCUUGUUGAAUUAAAUGGGACUCUGCUACAGCGGAAUGCCCGUGCCGAAUUCCGCAUUGGAAAUCCUGACGUUUAAUAUUAUACACAUGGGUCACAGAGGUUACAUCACUUAUGUUUGUGAAGGACCUUCACUGCAGCCAAGAUAUCAGCCAUUGCAACCAUCCUGUUAUGUAGUAUAAUUUUUUCUAAUAUAUGCCCUCAUUCAUG